UGCUUGGGUAGCUCAGUUGGUAGAGCAGUUGCCCGUGAAAGGCAAAGGUCCCGAGUUCGAGUCUCGGUCCGGCAC
rnacentral:tRNA from 1 species